AUUGAACGCUGGCGGCAUGCCUUACACAUGCAAGUCGAACGGCAGCACGGGAGCAAUCCUGGUGGCGAGUGGCGAACGGGUGAGUAAUAUAUCGGAACGUGCCCAGUCGUGGGGGAUAACGUAGCGAAAGCUACGCUAAUACCGCAUACGAUCUAUGGAUGAAAGCGGGGAUCGCAAGACCUCGCGCGAUUGGAGCGGCCGAUAUCAGAUUAGGUAGUUGGUGAGGUAAAGGCUCACCAAGCCGACGAUCUGUAGCUGGUCUGAGAGGACGACCAGCCACACUGGGACUGAGACACGGCCCAGACUCCUACGGGAGGCAGCAGUGGGAAUUUGGACAAUGGGCGCAAGCCUGAUCCAGCAAUGCCGCGUGCAGGAUGAAGGCCUUCGGGUUGUAAACUGCUUUGUACGGAACGAAACGGUGAGCUCUAAUACAGUUUGCUAAUGACGGUACCGUAAGAAUAAGCACCGGCUAACUACGUG
rnacentral:rRNA from 1 species